AACAGGCAAAUGUAUCGUAUGUGUCGUAUGGUUUUCCUUGCCCCACCCUUCUUUUUCGUAUCGUAAUGCUGCACACCUUGAUUUCGUGUAUUACGUACCUUUUCACCUCACGGAUAUGAGAUAGGUCAUAUCACAACAGUGAAAAUGAGUUCACAGGACACAACUGAUAAUGUACCAACAGUUAAUUCACCUGAUAUAUCCUCAAGAACAAAAAAUUGGGUCCAAUUUGAAGAUGAAACACCUGUUAAAGAUAAUGGUAGUAUGGAAGAAAAAACUAAAGUAAAUACACCAGCUGUAAUAAAACCAGAAUCAGUUACAGUAAAUGUUGAGAAAAUUGGAAAAACUGUUGAUAAAUUAGAUAAUCAACAAACAAAAAACAAUGAGUAUAAAGGUGCUGUGAUAUCAACUGAAUCCGUCCAGAUUAAUUUAGAUAGAUCAGGUCUAAGUAGGUCUGUCACAUCUGAAAGUCCAGAUCUUAAUUUGCCGUCCGAAGUAAAAAUUUCUGAUCCUAAAAGUGCUUCUCUUAAAACCAUUGAUCUCCGUGAUGUAUCCAAUGGUAGAAGCACUAUAAAUAAUAUUAUAAGCACACCUAUUGGAAAUAUUAGACAAGGUUUUGCAAAUGGGGAUACUAUAGUUACUCUUUUACCAGUUAAUACUAGAUGGCCAUGGAUUACUCCUGCCAAGUUUCGACCAGAAUUAGUACCAGAAGAAUUAAUGGCUCAGGGCUUAACGCUUACAGUAGAAGAUUACGUACAUAUUAUGGAGUUGCUUGUGAAUGAUGUACGUUUUAAUAUGUACAAUGUAUGCUACAAAAGAAUCCUUGUUCUUUGGAUAUUCACUGCAUUUAUUGUAUUGCUUGGCUUAUUAUUUUCUGGAGUAACUGGUCUUACUUUAUUUGGCCUCGGCAUUAUGUGGUUAGUCCUAAAUGCUGCUGCAAUAUUCUUUUGCAUGUUUAUCAAGAUAAAAUUAAAUCAUAAUCUUGAGAAAUGUAUGGCUCAAGUGAACAAGCAUUUACUUCGACAUAAAAUAUUGCUUGGAUUGGAUGAUAGAGGGAAGAUUUCUUGUCACAAAGUCAAUCUCUGUUUUAUAUAUUUUGAUACUACAGAUUGCAUCAAAAAGUUACAAGAAGUUAUAGAACGUGAAGAACGCGAGGGUAGAAUAAUCGGUGAAGAUGGAAAUUCUGAAAUGCGUAGAAAGAGGGAAUUGCAACAGCGAAUGGAUAUUGACGAUAGUGAUAUUGUUAUCCAAGGCAGUACUACUACUAGAAUUUCUCGUAAACAGGAACGGGCGGAGUUGCUGUUGCUGAGGUAUGCAUCUCGAUGGGCACAUCACUUUGUGCGCCGCAGACUUGAUCUGGUUAUAGACUCACAGGAACGAAAUAGAGACAUCGCCGGUCUGUCUGUUCCACCACGACAUUGUGUCUCCGCCCGUUGUCCUUGUCAAUUCAUUGAGGACCAUCUCAAAUACAAGCCUAGAGGUAUUUGUUACUAACCACUGACUAAUCCAGGGAUAUUACUUGCAUGCAGCUGGACAAAAGAUAGUAUGCUUUGAUAUUUUAUCUCGGUCACACACUGUGAACACAUGAAUAUCAUUCACAAACUGGUACAGGUGAUAUCCACCUGGCUUUACAUGGUGUGCUUAUCUUAAUGACCCAUUUGUUAGGUAUGAUGUUACAUUAGGUAUCCCUAAUUAACAGCGUCAAUGAUUUAAUUAAUGCACAACAGUAUUUAUAAGAUAUUGUUUAACAAAAUAAUCGUAUCAACACCUAUUACUUUACUUAUUGUUGAUAGUGAUUUUUAAUAUUAUUAAGGUAUAAGCACAAGAGAAUAGUAGAUACUUGGUAGUGUAUGAUAAACUCUUAUAGAACCAAUGCACCCAUAAAAUAUAUAUUUUUAUAUAGUUAAUUAAUUUUAACUGUUUCUGAAAUUCAAGUUUACACUAUAGAAUUUAUCAUAAAUAUAUGCAAAGCUAAAUAGAAGUUAUUAACAUUUUUUAGUGCAAC